rnacentral:lncRNA from 1 species
CUCUGAUGCACUUGGUGUAAGUCAGCUGGUGAUAAAUAGUGAGAGACAGGAGUUCCUUGCAAACAAAUGAGCCUCAACUAACCUCAUUUCUUCUUUUGACGGGAUAACAAGCUUAGAGGAUAAAUUCUUCCCUGCCAGAAUUUGUUUCUCUGCUGCCAGCCACCUCAGCAUUUAGCAAAACCCCAUUUUUUUUGCUCAAUUUCAGGCUGCUUAAAGCAAAGGCAGGUUCAGAUCACCCUCCUCAAGUUUUGGAUUCAGCCCCAAAAGCUCUUUUCCUGCAGGCUGCUGUACUUGUUCCCAAUCCUCUCAGCUCUGGAGAUGCUCAAGCCUCCCCACUGCCUGCACUCUGGGGCAGGAUGGCAGAGCCCACACUGACCUGAGACCCCAUGUGUGGGGGAAAAACCAGCUGUGUACAUCAGCAGCAAGGAUAAUUCUUCUCAGCAGCCCUUGCAAAGUGUCUGAAGAGGAUGUUCCUGGGCAGCUCAGCAGCACUACUCUGGCUGCAGCUCACUCGUGGGAGCAACUAGGAUGUGUUACAAGGCAGCAGCUCAGCACAGGCAGGGAAUGAAAGUACAAUGCCUUCCCUCCCUGCUUGCCAAGGAUUGCAGGGCCUGGAGAUGGAGGGUGGCACAAAGGUAAGUGGGAUGCCACAGCAUCACUGCAAUCU